rnacentral:rRNA from 1 species
AUUGAACGCUGGCGGCAAGCCUAACACAUGCAAGUCGAACGAGUGGCGGACGGGUGAGUAAUGUCUGGGAAACUGCCUGAUGGAGGGGGAUAACUACUGGAAACGGUAGCUAAUACCGCAUACCAUCGGAUGUGCCCAGAUGGGAUUAGCUAGUAGGUGGGGUAAAGGCUCACCUAGGCGACGAUCCCUAGCUGGUCUGAGAGGAUGACCAGCCACACUGGAACGGUGAAACGGUCCAGACUCCUACGGGAGGCAGCAGUGGGAAAUAUUGCAAAUUGGGCGCAAGCCUGAUGCAGCCAUGCCGCGUGUAUGAAGAAGGCCUUCGGGUGUUAAAGUACGUUCAGCGGGGAGGCGUUACUCGCAGAAGAAGCACCGGCUAACUCCGUGCCAGCAGCCGCGGUAAUUC